rnacentral:rRNA from 1 species
GACGUAGGGCGCGAGCGUUGUCCGGAUUUAUUGGGCGUAAAGAGCUCGUAGGCGGCUUGUCGCGUCGAAUGUGAAAACUCGGGGCUCAACUCCGAGCUUGCAUUCGAUACGGGCAGGCUAGAGUUCGGUAGGGGAGACUGAAUUCUGGUGUAGCGGUGAAAUGCGCAGAUAUCAGGAGGAACACCGGUGGCGAAGGCGGGUCUCUGGGCCAUAACUGACGCUGAGGAGCGAAAGCGUGGGGAGCGAACAGG